CACGUAGGGUGCGAGCGUUGUCCGGAAUUAUUGGGCGUAAAGAGCUCGUAGGUGGUUUGUCGCGUUGUUCGUGAAAACUCACAGCUCAACUGUGGGCGUGCGGGCGAUACGGGCAGACUGGAGUACUGCAGGGGAGACUGGAAUUCCUGGUGUAGCGGUGGAAUGCGCAGAUAUCAGGAGGAACACCUGCGGCGAAGGCGGGUUGCUGGGCUGACACUGACGCUGAGGCGCGAAAGCUAGGGGAGCGAACGGG
rnacentral:rRNA from 1 species